CACACGACUCUCGGCAACGGAUAUCUCGGCUCUCGCAUCGAUGAAGAACGUAGCGAAAUGCGAUACCUGGUGUGAAUUGCAGAAUCCCGCGAACCAUCGAGUCUUUGAACGCAAGUUGCGCCCGAGGCCACCCGGCCGAGGGCACGCCUGUCUGGGCGUCACGCC
rnacentral:rRNA from 2 species